CGAAGCCGGUGGAGUAACCUUUUAGGAGCUAGCCGUCGAAGGUGGGACAAAUGAUUGGGGUGAAGUCGUAACAAGGUAGCCGUAUCGGAAGGUGCGGCUGGAUCACCUCCUUUCUAAGGA
rnacentral:rRNA from 1 species